rnacentral:lncRNA from 1 species
GUUCGGCCGCUUUUAUCACCUGCUUCUUCCUCCGGGAUCCUACUCCGGCAAGAGACCGCCGACCUCGUAAGGCGCCGCCGGGUCGCUGUGCUUCCUUUUCAUACGCGCCACCGCAUCAGAUCUGGCUGACUUCGUCACGUUGGAUGUUUAUUUGCAGGUCGCCGGUGUCUCCAGCGUCGGCGUCUGCAUCGUCUAGGGUUCCGACAAGGUCGGCGUCGUCUAGGGUUCCGACAAAGUCGGCGUAGUCUAGGUCCCCGUCAAGCUUCGUCAAGCUCGGCGUCGACAAGGUAAACGCGCCCAAAUUCCCCUGUUAUGGACCUUGCUCGGCGUCGACAAGGUCCAUCCCCGUACGUGCCGCUCUGCAGUGUCACCUGCACCGACGCUCCCAUCUGACUAUGUUCACCCCUUUGCCGGCGGCAGGUGCGAUGGGCGGAGGCAGCGACGGGGAGUGGAGCUCGUUUGGAUUGUAAACCAGAAGCUGUCCUCGGCAUCCCGAGCUUGAUUGCCGCCUUGGAAGGUAGCAAGUCUUAUUCCCUAAAAAAGUCUUCUACGUACUAAACAAAACUGAAUUCUCUCAGAAAGAAAGUUCUGAAAUGAGGCAUGUAAGUAGCAGGCUGAACUCAGAUCCCAUCCGACAUGGACAUGACAUGCCGUGAUGAAUGAUGAUGCUUGUGUGAUGAGCUGCGCAACUAGGCCAGCUUUGUUUUCAUACACUAUAGCUUGUCUCAUGUUUUGGUCUGAAUUAUGUUUACUUUCUGAAUGUGUGAGUUCUGGUUGGUUUCUGAUUUCUGAAUGUGUUGUGCUUUGUUCUUCUGCAGCCCAUCCUGCACACGGGGGUAGGCGCGGACGUGAGGCUCCAGGGUGCUACUACCGCGUAUGGCCGGCCCCGUAGUCCCGUGGAUAAGCAGCGGUAGGGACAUACAUAGACUGAAAUAUGAACUCAACUGAACAUCUGGACUCCUGAAUCCGUGCAUAAUGUCAUGUGGAGCGUUUUUUAUUUGAUUUGGAUGUUUCUGAGAUUAGACAAGGGGUUGUGUUUAGAGAUUUCGGAUUCAGAGGUAUGAUUCAGCAUGCUAUUGUUAGGAGGUUGUGUAUUCUGGCACUUGGCCUUGGGAUUUUUGCUUUUGUUUCUUGAUGAUCGUAGGGUGGUUUGUGUAGGUUGACGUAGAAGUUUUUCUAUGUUUUAAAAAUCUUACGUUUAUUUUACGAAUUUUGUAGCAGCAACAUGGAUUAGUUCUUGAGACUUGUUAGCAUGUAUAUUAGGUUUUCUUCUAUUCAGCCGGUGGUAUGCAUGCAUCUAUUAACAUUUAGGUCGCUUGUCCAUAUUAUAGGCUGGAGUAGUUUUGUAAAUGCUAGGCCAUGAAUUUAUUCACAUGUUUGUAUUGAUAAACGAUGCAUGUGUUGCAUCCUACCCGCACGACUUUGUUAUUUUAAUGUUGAAAAGUUUUCUUUAAUUUGCAUUUGAUGCCGUGAAUAGUCCUUUGCUUGCACAGUAGAGUGUUCUGGUGUUUUAGGUAAUUUCCUCUGUUGCUCUAGGAGCAGCACUACCAAUUUUUUUUCACACUAUAUUUGUGAAAUUAUACAAAUAAGAAUUCUGUGGUUAAUUGCAGCAUUUUGGGUGGACAUAGUUAGUUAACAAUGAUUUUGUAGUAUGGUGUCAUUCAUCUACCAUACUUCUGUAUCAUUUUCCUUGCAAGUAUUAUCAUAACAUGAUAAUUCGUGGUGUUCUUGUCCUCUGUGUUGCUUAGCUCUUAUUUGUUUGGGCACACACACAAAAGCAGAACUUGCCUAGCAAUCCCUUUUAAGUACUAACAUAGUUGUUUGAUCUUUUUACUGUAAUUGAUAUAGUUUGUUGACCUUUUUUCUAUCCUAAUGUAUUUAAUGUUUUCAUUAUCAUGCUUUCUUCUGUGAAUAGCACAACUAUCAGUGAUUCUAAAUACUUGAAUUAUGGU